UCCUGGCUUAGGAUAAACGCUGGCGGCGUGCUUAACACAUGCAAGUCGAACGGAGUAUCCGUCCGGACGAUUGAAGGAGCUGCUCUGGAUUGAGUCUUGAAUACUAGUGGCGGACGGGUGAGUAACGCGUGGGUAACCUGCCUCACACAGGGGGAUAACAGUUGGAAACGACUGUUAAUACCGCAUAAGCGCACAGUACCGCAUGGUACAGUGUGAAAAAACUCCGGUGGUGUGAGAUGGACCCGCGUCUGAUUAGCUAGUUGGUGAGGUAACGGCCCACCAAGGCGACGAUCAGUAGCCGGCCUGAGAGGGUGUACGGCCACAUUGGGACUGAGACACGGCCCAAACUCCUACGGGAGGCAGCAGUGGGGAAUAUUGGACAAUGGGGGAAACCCUGAUCCAGCGACGCCCGCGUGAGUGAUGAAGUAUCUCGGUAUGUAAAGCUCUAUCAGCAGGGAAGAUAAUGACGGUACCUGACUAAGAAGCACCGGCUAAAUACGUGCCAGCCGCCGC
rnacentral:rRNA from 1 species